rnacentral:rRNA from 1 species
GCAAUGGGGGCAACCCUGACGAAGCAAUGCCGCGUGGAUGAAGAAGGCCUUCGGGUUGUAAAGUCCUUUCGUGGAGGACGAAAAGGCGGGUUCUAAUACAAUCUGCUGUUGACGUGAAUCCAAGAAGAAGCACCGGCUAACUCCGUGCCAGCAGCCGCGGUAAUACGGGGGGUGCAAGSSUUAAUCGGAAUCACUGGGCGUAAAGGGUGCGUAGGCGGUACGUUAGGUCUGUSGUGAAAUCCCCGGGCUCAACCU